UAGCUGUUGUGGAAGAAAGCAAAGAC
rnacentral:piRNA from 1 species